AAAGUACUCCCUCCGUCCCAAAAUUCUUAUCUUAGAUUUGUCUAGAUACGGAUGUAUCAAGUCACAUUUUAGUAUUAGAUACUUCCGUAUCUAGACAAAUCUAAGACAAGAAAUUUGGGACAGAGGGAGUAGUUG
rfam:Triticum aestivum genome assembly, contig: Triticum_aestivum_CS42_TGACv1_scaffold_322259_4BL